GCGCCUGCUUUGGGAGCAGGAGGUCGCAGGUUCGAAUCCUGCCACCCCGACAA
rnacentral:tRNA from 1 species